rnacentral:rRNA from 1 species
AUUGAACGCUGGCGGCAGGCCUAACACAUGCAAGUCGAACGGUAACAGGAAGAAGCUUGCUUCUUUGCUGACGAGUGGCGGACGGGUGGGUAAUGUCUGGGAAACUGCCUGAUGGAGGGGGAUAACUACUGGAAACGGUAGCUAAUCCCGCAUAACGUCGCAAGACCAAAGAGGGGGACCUUCGGGCCUCUUGCCUACGGAUGUGCCCAGAUGGGAUUAGCUAGUAGGUGGGGUAACGGCUCACCUAGGCGACGAUCCCUAGCUGGUCUGAGAGGAUGACCAGGCACACUGGAACGGAGACACGGUCCAGACUCCUACGGGAGGCAGGAGUGGGGAAUAUUGCACAAUGGGCGCAAGCCUGAUGCAGCCAUGCCGCGUGUAUGAAGAAGGCCUUCGGGUUGUAAAGUACUUUCAGCGGGGAGGAAGGGAGUAAAGUUAAUACCUUUGCUCAUUGACGUUACCCGCAGAAGAAGCACCGGCUAACUCCGUG